CCUACGUGGUGCAGCAGUGGGGAAUAUUGGACAAUGGGCGAAAGCCUGAUCCAGCCAUGCCGCGUGUGUGAAGAAGGCCUUCGGGUUGUAAAGCACUUUCAGUGGGGAAGAAAGCCUUGGGGCUAAUACCCUCGAGGAAGGACAUCACCCACAGAAGAAGCACCGGCUAACUCCGUGCCAGCAGCCGCGGUAAUACGGAGGGUGCGAGCGUUAAUCGGAAUUACUGGGCGUAAAGCGCGCGUAGGCGGUCUGAUAAGCCGGUUGUGAAAGCCCCGGGCUCAACCUGGGAACGGCAUCCGGAACUGUCAGGCUAGAGUGCAGGAGAGGAAGGUAGAAUUCCCGGUGUAGCGGUGAAAUGCGUAGAGAUCGGGAGGAAUACCAGUGGCGAAGGCGGCCUUCUGGACUGACACUGACGCUGAGGUGCGAAAGCGUGGGUAGCAAACAGGAUUAGAUACCUAGUAGUC
rnacentral:rRNA from 1 species